GACGAACGCUGGCGGCAGGCCUAACACAUGCAAGUCGAACGAGUGGCGGACGGGUGAGUAAUGUCUGGGAAACUGCCCGAUGGAGGGGGAUAACUACUGGAAACGGUAGCUAAUACCGCAUACCAUCGGAUGUGCCCAGAGGGGAUUAGCUAGUAGGUGGGGUAACGGCUCACCUAGGCGACGAUCCCUAGCUGGCCUGAGAGGAUGACCAGCCACACGGGAACUGAGACACGGUCCAGACUCCUACGGGAGGCAGCAGUGGGGAAUAUUGCACAAUGGGCGAAAGCCUGAGGCAGCCAUGCCGCGUGUAUGAAGAAGGUUUUCGGGUUGUAAAGUACUGUCAGCGAGGAGGCGUUACUCGCAGAAGAAGCACCGGCUAACUCCGUGCCAGCAGCCGCGGUAAUUC
rnacentral:rRNA from 1 species